rnacentral:lncRNA from 1 species
GAUCUUGACCGUAGCGCAACUUCGCGCAGGCUACCGGUAAACCCGUCUCCGGAUGCUUGACGUUGUCGCUAGGGACAUUCCGGGAAGAGGGUAGUUAUGUAUUCUUGGCAUCACCGCAUUAAGCUGGGAGGGGACUUACCAAGCUGCGGAGGUACCCUGCCAGCCUGAAGGGUGGCCCCUUGGGGAGGACUUUCGGCGACUUUGCACAGAGCGUAACGGCGAGGGCGGUUUAUAUGCAAUUCCAUGUGAGCUAAGAGGCCUAUCAAGGUCUAUAAUUCCUCACGGCGCGGUGCCUACCGGGUAAUGUAAGACAGCAGGUGCCCAGACGGCUUUUGCGCAUUGGCUAUUGGCAAGACCUCUGGGUGCCGGGGCUGUAU